CUGGGGUUCAGGAACCAGAGCCUCAGUGUCUGCAGGAGUUGCUGGCUGUUUCCUGAUACAGUUGGAGCAGAAUGGGAUGUUCUGAGACAAAAGAGAUGUUUACCCAUCUUGACUAGUGUGGUCAUCUGAAGAAUGGCCUCCAAAGACAUCCUGAGAACCUGGGAAUGUUGCAUGGAUGAGGGAAUUUGCAAAUCUGAUGCUCUGCAAAGAAGCAGCGGAACCACUGCAUCCAAGAGGAGUGAAGGUGAAGCUGGAAGGAGUGAGAUUCCUUGAGAAGAGGCCCAGGUAGUGGAAGGGCAGAGAGACGCUGCAGGCUGCGUCACAGAUGAUCCUGGGACAGAUGAAUCUCGGCAUCAUGGAUGGCAGCGUUCACUCCACUGGCCCCAGAGGAAGAAAUCUGUGUUUGGAGAGGGAUUAAUGACAGCCUCCCAGCCCUCAGGGAGUUGGUCGCCUUAAAGAAGGAAGCAGAGAGGGUGUGUUUUCCAAAUCUAGUCCUGGAGAUGCUUGCAGAGAAAGAACAUUGCUAGAACUUAGGGUCCAAUGAGCAACUGAAGGGAAGUCUGUGCUCCGCCUCUGAAGGGCUGAAUGUAUCUGGGGCCCUCUGCAGGGUGGACAUGGUGCCUUGGAAUGUAGUGUCUGUAUUUCCUGAUCAGUCAGCUGUUGAAUACUUCUCAUUUAAACUAGGAACAGAGCACCAACAGUUACUGGGCAUAUUAGGAAAAUUCAUAGCUGGAAAGAUAGAGAACAGAAUGAACAAUAAAGAACAAAUACAAAAAUUUGAAGACUUUUUAAGCAGAAGAAAACUAAAAUGCAUAAUCAUUAAUAUUCUGAGGAGGGUUAGAGAUGAUGUCA
rnacentral:lncRNA from 1 species